CAAUACUGUGGGUGGCGAGUGGCGGACGGGUGAGGAACACAUCGGAAUUUGCCCAGUCGUGGGGGAUAACGUAGGGAAACUUACGCUAAUACCGCAUACGACCUUACGGUGAAAGCGGGGGAUCGCAAGACCUCGCGCGGAUGGAUGAGCCGAUGUCGGAUUAGCUAGUUGGUGGGGUAAAGGCCUACCAAGGCGACGAUCCGUAGCUGGUCUGAGAGGAUGAUCAGCCACACUGGGACUGAGACACGGCCCAGACUCCUACGGGAGGCAGCAGUGGGGAAUAUUGGACAAUGGGGGCAACCCUGAUCCAGCAAUGCCGCGUGUGUGAAGAAGGCCUUCGGGUUGUAAAGCACUUUUAUCCGGAACGAAACGUGCGGGGUGAAUAGCCUCGUAAACUGACGGUACCGGAGGAAUAAGCACCGGCUAACUUCGUGCCAGCAGCCGCGGUAAUACGAAGGGUGCAAGCGUUACUCGGAAUUACUGGGCGUAAAGGGUGCGUAGGUGGUUUUUUAAGUCUGCUGUGAAAUCCCCGGGCUCAACCCGGGAAUGGCAGUGGAUACUGGAAAGCUGGAGUGCGGUAGAGGGUAGUGGAAUUCCCGGUGUAGCAGUGAAAUGCGUAGAGAUCGGGGAGGAACACCAGUGGCGAAUGCGGCUACCUGGACCAGCACUGACACUGAGGCACGAAAGCGUGGGGAGCAAACAGGAUUUA
rnacentral:rRNA from 1 species